AAAAGAGCAGACAGAGCCUCAUGAUGUCUAACAAGGAGAAGUGCGAAAGUCCUGCACAUGAACAGGAACAGCCCCAGACACCAACAUAUGCUGGGGUGGCUACCUAGCUGCUCUGAGAGAAGACACGCAGCAAUGUCAUUCAAAGAAAAUGAGUAAGCAAUUGCAGAAAUGCCAAGAAAAUAUCUGCUGCUGGGAAGUUGAUGCUCCAGAUCUAGAAAUUGCUUGGAAGAAGCAGAAGGCAGGCUGAGGAGCAGCACUGAAGAGUCAAUAUACAGAAAAUCAAUAUACAGAAAGGAAGAAAUUUCUGAGAAUAAUCUGGAAUGAGGGGCAUAUCCUGACUGUAC